CUCCCAUCCAAGUACUAACCAGGCCCGACCCUGCUUAGCUUCCGAGAUCAGACGAGAUCGGGCGCAUUCAGGGUGG
rnacentral:sRNA from 1 species